CAUGCCUUACACAUGCAAGUCGAACGGCAGCACGGGAGCAAUCCUGGUGGCGAGUGGCGAACGGGUGAGUAAUAUAUCGGAACGUGCCCAGUCGUGGGGGAUAACGUAGCGAAAGCUACGCUAAUACCGCAUACGAUCUAUGGAUGAAAGCGGGGGAUCGCAAGACCUCGCGCGAUUGGAGCGGCCGAUAUCAGAUUAGGUAGUUGGUGAGGUAAAGGCUCACCAAGCCGACGAUCUGUAGCUGGUCUGAGAGGACGACCAGCCACACUGGGACUGAGACACGGCCCAGACUCCUACGGGAGGCAGCAGUGGGGAAUUUUGGACAAUGGGCGCAAGCCUGAUCCAGCAAUGCCGCGUGCAGGAUGAAGGCCUUCGGGUUGUAAACUGCUUUUGUACGGAACGAAACGGUGAGCUCUAAUACAGUUUGCUAAUGACGGUACCGUAAGAAUAAGCACCGGCUAACUACGUG
rnacentral:rRNA from 1 species